UAAGGUUUGGGGAAACCUGCAGUCAGCUGAGACUGAAGAAGUUACUUGGAUGAGUGACGAAACGUUUCUCCCACAAAACGCUACGUCCAGAUGAACAGAUUCAACUUUUGGAGACAACAAGAGAAUCAUCAUCUAUAUUAGGAUUCUGGGAAAAGUCAAUCUUCAGGCAGGUCAUCCCAGGAUGGAGGAGUCCUCACAGCAAACAUUCAGUCGUCUUUAAGUGUGAGCUGGGAACAGUGAACAGAGUUUCUACCAGAGCCAAAUGUCAUCGACUCCUCACUGAAGUCGUCCACCAGUCCAACCACUGGAAUCCAGCUGCUGCUCUCUAACUGGUCCACACAGCAGCUCAGACCUGACACAUUCACUGUAAACACACUGGUUUAUAUUCUGUUUGUUCUCCUCAUGAAGGAAACCUCAGAAGAUCUGAAAUGUGAGUGUGUGUCUGCGCCUCACUGGUUGUUUCUGUCUGAUGGAAACAUGAAUUCUUGUGGCUAACAAACACACCUGUCUGAGAUAACAAAGAACAAACAUGAGUCGACUUCAGCCGCAAAGUAAAAGCUGCAGGAACAGACAACAUCUGUAACAUCUGUCCUCAUUCAGCCUGAGACAUCCUGGAGACUCAGAUGAUCAUUUUAACCUCUGCUUUAUAACUAAAGUGCUCAGCAGCAAGUUUUCAUAAGGUCAGACUUAAGUGGAAGAAGGAUUCAAAUAAAAUCUCUUUAAUGUGUUUAUUUAAAGUUCACAGAGGAAUGAAUCCCUGUUUAUGUGAUGUCACAGCUGUCUGUGUCACUGUGAGAGACAAUGAUGUAAAAUCUGAAUAUUGACACAUAGAUGUAAACAGAAUAGAAUAGAAUAGAAUUCAACUUUAUUGUCAUUGCACAUGCACAGGUACAGGGCAACGAAAUGCAGUUUGCAUCCAUCCAGAAAGUGCUUUAACCGUGAUAUAGAUAUAUUACAAUAUAUAUUAGCAAUAAUAUAGAUGUGUAAGUAUAUUACAGAAAUGGGUCUAUUAUGGUAUGUUAUAAUGUACACGGUGUGAAGUAUGUUAUGAACAUUCUAUAACUAAACAGUGUACAGAUACAAAUAUUUCUGGAUGAUUUGUCACAUGGAUUCAUAAAUUAUGAAUUUAUAUGUUUUACUUAUUACAGCUACAGAUGUGGUUUGUAAUAUG